CCGACUAAGGGCGGGUGGGAU
rnacentral:misc_RNA from 1 species